rnacentral:rRNA from 1 species
AUGCAAUGCCGUUCUCCCCACCAUGUAUGCUUAGCUUUGGAUUUGUCAUUUUAUUUGCCUUUGUGCUGCAAUCAAGGGAAGAAUAAUGCACAACUAAGUGGAACAUUUCAUCCCCGUGAACCACUUGUUUGCUACUAUCAAGCACUCCAUCUCUCAGAACUUCAGAAGUGUGCAGACAAGGAGCAAAUGGAGCAAACCGCUGUUUUGGCUCUGGUUGGCAGCAUAAGCGGCCUUGCUGUACAGGAGACAUCCCUACCAUGCGGAGUCAAAGAUGAAGUGGUGUUCCUGAAAGAAGAGCUGGCGCGGCUGCAGGGCUUACUACAAGAUCUCCAUGACAAGCCAAGGCCAGGACAUGCCAUCAGUACCAUGGCCACCUCCGUCCGCCAGAUCGAAGAUUCCAUUGAAGACGCUGAGAAUGUCAUUGAAGAUUGUGAGUACAUGGAGAAGCGGAACAGGCUCUACAAAGGAUUCAUGCGUGCUACAAGGUGUGCUGUCUUACCAUGUGAUGUGACCACCCUCCAUGAAGUUGGUUUUGAAGUACGGCCUAUAAGAAGGAAGAUUUUUGGUAUCAAGGAUCAUAUGCAUAGCAUAAGUAGUAGUAUUGUCGGUGUUGAUGGGUUGUUAGACAUGCUGACUGUGGAGAGUGCAGAGAGUUCGUCCCCUCCCUGA